rnacentral:rRNA from 1 species
UGAGUUUGAUUAUGGCUCAGNUUGAACGCUGGCGGCAGGCCUAACACAUGCAAGUCGAACGGUAACAGGAAGAAGCUUGCUUCUUUGCUGACGAGUGGCGGACGGGUGAGUAAUGUCUGGGAAACUGCCUGAUGGAGGGGGAUAACUACUGGAAACGGUAGCUAAUACCGCAUAACGUCGCAAGACCAAAAAGGGGGACCUUCGGGCCUCUUGCCAUCGGAUGUGCCCAGAUGGGAUUAGCUAGUAGGUGGGGUAACGGCUCACCUAGGCGACGAUCCCUAGCUGGUCUGAGAGGAUGACCAGCCACACUGGAACUGAGACACGGUCCAGACUCCUACGGGAGGCAGCAGUGGGGAAUAUUGCACAAUGGGCGCAAGCCUGAUGCAGCCAUGCCGCGUGUAUGAAG